UCUCCCACCCCACUACUAUUACUGCCAGCCUGAAGCCCAGCACCACUCCGGCCAUCCCCCAAAACAAUAAGUGGGGUCUGUUGGCUUUCUCCGGCACCCAUCACUGGCAGCCCAUCAAUACACCCUUCCUCUCCCUCACACGCACCCUCUUCCUCUCUCACCUCCUUAUGCACCCUCUCUCUCACUCUCUGGGGGUUGGGUUGAAUAAAUACAGAGAAUAUUCAUAGUAAUAUCCAUUGUUUUGGGACUUUAACCAGUGGACUUAUGUAUAGAUCAAAGGCAAUACACACACACACACACAUACAUACAUACAUACAUACAUACAUACACACACACACACACACACACACACACACACAGCAGUGGUAAUACAUGAAAAAUAAAGGCGAGAAUUAUUUCCAUGCGUACAAUAUCAAUAUAAUGGAUUGUGUGAUUGUUAAUACUAAUAGUUAUAAUGUAAUACCCUUGGCUUAGUACAUACAUAGUCUACAUACGUACAUGUGUGCACCACUGUAAACCCUUAAGAAUCUAGACACACACACACACACACGCACACAUUUACAUACAUACAUAAAUCGUGGUUCUACAUACAUACACACACACAUACAUGAGAUCUGGAAUUGGUCAUAAGUACGCACAUGUAUAAAUCUUAAUGCUACACACACGCACACACACACACGCGCGCGCACACACUAUAGCUGCACCGAACGGAACACAACGGCAAUAUAAGCGACGGAAACACGGAAUGGACAAAAAAAUAAUAAUGAUAAUAAUAAUAAUAAUAGUAAUAAUGAGAUCGGUCAUCGAGUUUGUUUACAUAUGGAAGUCAGUCUCUCUCUCUCUCUCUCUCUCUCUCUCUCUCUCUCUCUCACACUCAAGCUUGUGUUCUCGUCUUGUUGAAAUGAAGCUUUUUUUUUCCUCCUCUCUCUCUCUCUCUCUCUCUUCCACUUAAAGAGCUCAACCCAAGCUUACAUCAUCAAAAUUAAAGCUUAAACACGAUUUUUCAUGCCCCUCGGAACACCAAGCUUAUUUUUUCGUUCUUGGAGGCUCUGAUAAGCUUAUAGUCCAUCAUUAAGCUUGUGGGAGGGAUGGAAUAAGCUUGUUUCUCAUAUCAAAGCUUGUGGGGGAAAGAAAGCUGUUUUCCUCGUUAUCAAAAGCUUACAUGACAUAGUUAAGCUUGUGGGAGGGAAGGAAUAAGCUUGUUUCUCAUAUCAAAGCUUGUGGGGUAGAGUAAGCUGUUUUCCUCGUUAUUAAAAGCUUACACGACAUAGUUAAGCUUGUGGGGAUAAGGAUCAAGCUUUCUCAUUUAUUCAAGGCAAGUUUUAUACAGUCAAAGCUUAAGACCCAUUUUAAAGCUUGUAGGGUCCUCAAAAAAGCUUAUACUGCAAAAUUAAGCUGUCUUCUUUAAUAAUAUAUCCCUAACAUAAGCUUGCCUCCCAUAUUAAAGCUUGUGGGUCUCAAAAUCAAGCUUUCCCUUCAUGUUCCAGCUUAAGUUCUAUUGCUAAGUUUAAGUAUGUCCUCAAAAAAGCUUAAAUACUGGAAAAUUCAAGCUCUUUUCUUUAUUUCACCUUUAACAUAAGCUUACAUCCCACAUUAAAGCUUGUGGGACUCAAAAUCAAGCUUUCCCUUCAUGUUCCAGCUUAAAUGUCCUCAAAACAGCUUAGAUACUGGAAGAUUCAAGCUCUUCUUUAUUUCUCCCCUUAACAUAAGCUUACAUCCCACAUUAAAGCUUGUGGGACUCAAAAUCAAGCUUUUCCCUUCAUGUUCCAGCUUAAAUGUCCUCAAAACAGCUUAGAUACUGGAAAAUUCAAGCUCUCUUCAUUAUUUCACCCCUAACAUAAGCUUACAUAAAAAAGCUUGAAGGGGGUAUACAAAAAGCUUAUUUCUUGGUAUUGAGACCUCACACAAGCUCACAUCCCUUAGAAAUAAAGCUUGAGUGAAUAUCAGCUUACUUCCCCCAAUACCAGCUUUUCAUUUCACCCAUAUAGAGUAAGCUGAGAGAUCCUAGUAAGCUUGUGGACUCCAAGAAAGCUUAGUUGAUAUAGAAAUGAUAGGAAGAAGAGGAG